CGCCCGACCUCCAACCCUUUGUUGUUAAAACUACCUUGUUGCUUUGGCGGGACCGCUCGGUCUCGAGCCGCUGGGGAUUCGUCCCAGGCGAGCGCCCGCCAGAGUUAAACCAAACUCUUGUUAUUAAACCGGUCGUCUGAGUUAAAAUUUUGAAUAAAUCAAAACUUUCAACAACGGAUCUCUUGGUUCUCGCAUCGAUGAAGAACGCAGCGAAAUGCGAUAAGUAAUGUGAAUUGCAGAAUUCAGUGAAUCAUCGAAUCUUUGAACGCACAUUGCGCCCCUUGGUAUUCCGAGGGGCAUGCCUGUUCGAGCGUCAUUACACCACUCAAGCUAUGCUUGGUAUUGGGUGCCGUCCUUAGUUGGGCGCGCCUUAAAGACCUCGGCGAGGCCUCACCGGCUUUAGGCGUAGUAGAAUUUAUUCGAACGUCUGUCAAAGGAGAGGACUUCUGCCGACUGAAACCUUUAUUUUUCUAGGUUGACCUCGGAUCAGGUAGGGAUACCCGCUGAACUUAAGCAUAUCAAUAGCCGGGAGGAAA
rnacentral:rRNA from 1 species